CGGCUCAGUAACACGUGGAUAACCUACCCUUGAGACGGGGAUAAACCCGGGAAACUGGGUAUAAUACCCGAUAGAUCUCGACUGCUGGAAUGCAUCGAGCUUGAAAGCUCCGGCGCUCAAGGAUGGGUCUGCGGCCUAUCAGGUAGUAGUGGGUGUAGCGUACCUACUAGCCUACGACGGGUACGGGUUGUGAGAGCAAGAGCCCGGAGAUGGAUUCUGAGACACGAAUCCAGGCCCUACGGGGUGCAGCAGGCGCGAAAACUUUACAAUGCUGGAAACAGCGAUAAGGGGACCUCGAGUGCCAGGUUACAAAUCUGGCUGUCGUGAUGCCUAAAAAGCAUUGCAUAGCAAGGGCCGGGCAAGACCGGUGCCAGCCGCCGCGGUAACACCGGCGGCUCGAGUGGUAACCGUUAUUAUUGGGUCUAAAGGGUCUGUAGCCGGCCGGAUAAGUCUCUUGGGAAAUCUGGCAGCUUAACUGUCAGGCUUUCAGGAGAUACUGUCUGGCUCGAGGCCGGGAGAGGUGAGAGGUACUUCAGGGGUAGGGGUGAAAUCUUGUAAUCCUUGAAGGACCACCAGUGGCGAAGGCGUCUCACCAGAACGGACCUGACGGCAAGGGACGAAAG
rnacentral:rRNA from 1 species